rnacentral:rRNA from 1 species
AUGGCAGUUGGGAUGACAUCCCACCUCUUCCAGGGAGGGGCUACUACCAGCAGAUUUAGCCAAAUCAACAAAUUUAGAAGCCCAGAGAAGCGUUGUUCUCUCUCCUUGCCAUCCACUUCGCUUCCUUUUCUUGCUUAUGGGCAGGAUUUAUUGGUUCAGAACGUGUUGGGUAGGAGCUACAGGCCCAUGCUUUAUGUGCCUUGUAGAUAUAGGGCCUCGGGUGCUAAAUCUUUUGCUUUGCCAGUGUCUUGGAAGGAAAUUCCGCUGGUCAAGAGCACGUCGUCAGCAUUGGCUAGGUCGUGUGACAGUUUACUUGCAAAUCCUGUCACUGCCCUUGUGACACCUGCAGUUGGAAUAAUUGUCUUUGCCCUAUGGGGCUUUUUGCCUCUAGUGAAGGACAUUAGAAACCGUAUUGAUCACGGAGGAAACUGGAAACAGAGCCCCACAUACCUAAUUUCUAGGUCGUACCUUCAACCUUUGCUUCUUUGGACAGGAGCAACGCUAAUCUGCAGGGGUUUGGAUCCAGUUGUGCUACGUUCAUCAGCAAGCCAAGCUGUUAAAACGCGUCUUGUAACUUUUGUGAGAUCUUUAUCUACCGUCCUGGCUAUUGCAUAUGUUCUUACAAGCUUGAUUCAGCAGGUACAUAAAUUCCUAGUGGACGUACGUAACCCCAAUGACACAAAAAAAAUGGGUUUGGAUUUUACCGUGAAAGCAAUCUAUACUGGCAUUUGGAUUGCUGCUGUUUCUCUCUUUAUGGAGUUGCUGGGUGUCAAUACCAAGAAGUGGAUAACUGCUGGAGGUUUUGGGACAGUAUUGCUUACGCUUGCUGGUCGUGAGAUUUUGACUAACUUCAUCUCGAGUGUUAUGAUCAACGCCUCACGCCCAUUUAUUGUGAAUGAAUGGAUCACUGCAAACAUAGAUGGUGUUGAGAUCACUGGUGUUGUUGAGCGUGUUGGUAUGUGGUCUCCAACAGUUCUUAGAGGUGACGACAAAGAAGCUAUAUACAUUCCUAACCAUAAGUUCACAGUGUCCAUAGUGAGAAAUAACAGUCGAAGGAGCCACUGGCGUAUUAAGAGCUAUCUUGCGAUAAGCCACAUGGAUGCUGGAAAAAUUAGUAUAAUUGUUGCGGACAUGAGGAAAGUCUUGGCUAAAAAUCAGAAUAUAGAACAACAGAGGCUACACAGAAGAGUAUUUUUUGAGAAAAUUGAUGAAACGACCCAAGCUCUCAUGAUUUACGUAUCCUGCUUUGUGAAGACUUCACAUCUUGAGGAGUAUCUGAAUGUCCAGGAGGAAGUUUUGUUGGACUUUCUUAGAAUAAUUGGCCAUCACAGGGCAAGGCUUGCCACCCAAACUCGAACGGUCCAGAAAUCGUAUGGCAACGCAGACAUAGAUAACAUUCCUUUUGGAGAGGAGAUGUACUCUCGUGUACGUGGCCGUCCACUUCUGAUUGACACCUCUGCAAAGGUCAGUGAAGGCAAGCCUAAAUCUAGAUCAACCUCACGUGAAGAUCAGAGAGUCAAGACAAGCGCAUCGGCUGAGACCAGGGUAGGUUCACCAGAUAGUGCUAGUGUAAGCAACUCAGACAAGAAGGAACAGAAAAAGAUGGUGUCAGAAGAUGGUCCAACGAAGAAUAGCAAGAAUGAUCAUGGGAUGUCAACACAAGCAUCUCUGGCUGGUAAAGGGGAGUCUCGAGGAUCCGAGGCCACAGAGCGACAAGGAGAUGGGUCAGUUUCUCUUCCUAAUCCUAAGAAAGAAUCUAGACCUGGCCUGGAAGAUAACAUUGUUCUGGGUGUAGCACUUAAGGGCUCCAAGAGGACACUCCCCAUCGAACAAGAAACAGAUCCUCAUGCAUCCGAAAGCGAGCAAGGCACAGUUGAGGUUGGUUCAUUGCCGAAGGAUAAGAAAGGUCAAAGCCAUAAGCCAUGA